rnacentral:lncRNA from 1 species
GAGAGAGAGAGAGUGUGUGUGUGAGAGAGAGAGAGUGUGUGUGUGAGAGAGAGAGAGUGUGUGUGUGAGAGAGAGAGAGUGUGUGUGUGAGAGAGAGAGAGUGUGUGUGUGAGAGAGAGAGAGUGUGUGUGUGAGAGAGAGAGAGUGUGUGUGUGAGAGAGAGAGAGUGUGUGUGUGAGAGAGAGAGAGUGUGUGUGUGAGAGAGAGAGAGUGUGUGUGUGAGAGAGAGAGAGUGUGUGUGUGAGAGAGAGAGAGUGUGUGUGUGAGAGAGAGAGAGUGUGUGUGUGAGAGAGAGAGAGUGUGUGUGUGAGAGAGAGAGAGUGUGUGUGUGAGAGAGAGAGUAUGUGUGUGUGAGUGUGUGUGUGUGUGUGUGUGAGAGCAGGGCAUGCAGCAGCAGAUCGCUCAUGUGGCCAUGCAGCUGGAACUACAAUCGACUGCUGACCUGCAAUGCUGCUCGUCUGAAGGAGUCCGGACGGUCCUUCAUUAAAGAGGCCUGCAUGGCCAAGUACUUCACCGCGGAGAAACGAGCUGCGAUGCUGUUCUGAGAUCAGUGUGUUGCAUCGAGUGGAUGGGCGGCGUGGGCUUCACCAGACUAUCCCAUCGAGAAGUACUACAGAGACUGUAAGAUCGGAACCAGCAACAGCUGAGCACCAUGGCCAAGAUGAUCGACCAGGAAUAUGUCGGAUUAACAUCUGUGUGUCACAUACACCAGACGAGCUAAUUGAGCUGUUAAUAAGAUGUAUGCUGUAGUUUUCAUGUAUUAAACAUGUUGAUGCUGUUUCUCAGCUCGAGGAUCUCCUCUGGUGAGAUUCACACAGCGAUCGCGUAAUAAGACUCUUUUCUGUAACGGAACUGUGUUGGACUCUUAAUGGAUCAUUUGAUAGUUCUCUAGUUAUUUGUGUUGUAAGACUCUUUACAUCAUAUAAAUAAAUUAUAUCGCAGCAAAUGAGUUGAAGUCUGUUUUUAUGAAGUCUUUUCACUUUU